rnacentral:rRNA from 1 species
GCUUGUCUCAAAGAUUAAGCCAUGCAUGUCUCAGUACAAGCCAAAUUAAGGUGAAACCGCGAAAGGCUCAUUAAAUCAGUUAUGGUUCCUUAGAUCGUACCCACAAUUACUUGGAUAACUGUGGUAAUUCUAGAGCUAAUACAUGCAAACAGAGCUCCGACCGGAAACGGGAGGAGUGCUUUUAUUAGAUCAAGACCAAUCGGUGGCGGGCUCGUCAUCGUACAACUUGGUGACUCUGAAUAACUUUACGCUGAUCGCACGGUCACCGCACCGGCGACGCAUCUUUCAAAUGUCUGCCUUAUCAACUGUCGAUGGUAGGUUCUGCGCCUACCAUGGUUGUUACGGGUAACGGGGAAUCAGGGUUCGAUUCCGGAGAGGGAGCCUGAGAAACGGCUACCACAUCCAAGGAAGGCAGCAGGCGCGCAAAUUACCCACUCCCGGCACGGGGAGGUAGUGACGAAAAAUAACGAUACGGGACUCAUCCGAGGCCCCGUAAUCGGAAUGAGUACACUCUAAACCCUUUAACGAGGAUCAAUUGGAGGGCAAGUCUGGUGCCAGCAGCCGCGG